UGUUUAUUGCUCCAGAUUGUUUCCAGAUACAUAGAUAAGGAUUUAUUUGCACACAAACUUGGUAAGUUCAGUCUGGUUGAUGAUUGUGGCGCUUAGCAUACAGAGCACGACCGGUGUUGUCAUGGAUAUAGAAUUAGUAAAUCGAUUAAAUUGGGUGUUUACGUAUCUAAACUAGCACAACCUGUUGAUACGGUUUGCAAUAGGUUUCUUCGCAAAUUUUAAGAUAUGUGGUGUUUAGGCUUAAACAUAUAGACCCCUGCUUGGACAAGCAUUACUUUGACAAGCAGAUACUCUCGGCGCCUUCUUCAAUUCUCUUCUUUGUGUGUGGUCAAAGCAAGGCUCCUAAAUUUAUUCUUUUUUAAUUUGUUCUUAUGGUUAAUGUGUGGCAAUUGUUUUGUUUAUCUCUUCGAUUUUCACUUCUUUGCCAUUUUACUUCAGAUGGUUUGUGUGUUAGUCACCUCUUUGUUGCAGGUCGUGGUCCUGUUGAAGGUUGGUGCCUAAAGGCUCAGUUGUUUCUCUGGUAGAUUUGGGAUUCGACUGUGUUGCAGAUUCGUUGAUGCUGAAUUUUAGUGGUCGCAUCGCCGCCUGGACGUCUCGAUCCCUAAGCAUGGCGCGUGGGGAACUUGCAGAUCAGAUCACCACUUUGUGUCAAACAAGUUAAGAAUAAUUUUGAUAUUUCUUUUCUAUGAAAUUUCUAUGACUUCUACCAGUGCUAUGAUUAAUUGCUUCUCUUCUUCUUUACUAAGUAAAUUCGGUCAUGGGGAAAAUACACUAGCUGAUAACAACCUGUUUGUCAAACUGUGGCAUUAGGCGUUUAGCUUUUCCUGUAUUAAUCACGAAUGCCAGUAUAUUGAGGAGAUGUGAAGUAAAGUCUAACCAUCACUUGUCUUUUUUUUGUAAGGAACCGUUAUAUGGCAGCAUGGCUAUUGAUUUCUGUUAUAUUCAGAAAAUAUUCAUGUUUUAAUAAUGCAGUCUGAAGCGACAAUCAGUGUUUGCUGAAAUGGAGUUCCAAUUCAACAAAAUAUGCCUUGAGGGAAAGUCCCGAGAGUAUAUCUUAGGAGCGACUAAUCAAACAUGCGAUGUUCUAAGGAACUAAAACGAGAACAAAAUCAGCCUUCCAAGCAAAGCAAGAGUUUGAUUGUGCAUCUUGAACCACGGCGGCUUUUAAAUAAAGGAGCUAUAUUGAUUCCAUGAGCUGAGAAGAAACCUCCAUUAUUUCUCUUGGCUUGUGUAAUGUUGCAUUAGAAAGCUGGUUUAAAUGUUACUCAAAUGAUUAGGACUUCAUUCGGUCACACCUGACUUCAUUACUGCUGAUCCAGUCCACAG